UGCACAGAUAUGGCGGUUAGCCACCGUAAGGCCGACAUAAGCCCUAAGCAUUGCCUAGAGAUGAGCGCCCAAUGAGACUCGAUCCUAAGAUUGCCCACACGCGUAACGAUGCACGUACGAAUUGGCUAAGUCCCCGCACUCAGUCUGUAGCGUGACUAUCCCUAUGCAUGGAACUGAGCUGAUAUGUAGGGCAGAGGAAUCCGGUAGCGGUGAAUGCUAGAAUCCGGAAGACACAGGGCGAGGCGCUUGCUGGCUAUUACUGACGUCAUGACGAAAGCAGGGAGCGAAAGGAUAGAUAUCCGUGUCCUGGCCGUAAACGAUGAACACUAGGUUCGGGGAAUCGACCCUUCAGUGUCGUAGCUAACGCGUUAAGUGUUCGGCCUGGGGAGUACGCACGCAAGUGUGAAACUCAAAGGAAUUGACGGGGGCCGCACAAGCGGUGGAGUAUGUGGUUAAUUCGAUGCAACGCGAAGAACCCUUAUCAGGGUUUGACAUCCUGCGAACCUCUUAGAAAUUUGAGGGUGCCUUCGGGAACGCAGUGACAGGUGGUGCAUGGCUGUCGUCAGCUCGUGUCGUGAGAUGUUGGGUUAAGUCCCGCAACGAGCGCAACCCACGUUUUUAGUUGCCAGCAUUAAGUUGGGCACUCUAGAAAGACCGCCGGUGAUAAAAACCGGAGGAAGGUGUGGAUGACGUCAAGUCAUCAUGCCCCUUACACCCUGGGCUACACACGUACUACAAUGCUACGGACAAAGGGCAGCAAACUCGCGAGAGCUAGCAAAUCCCAUAAACCGUGGCUCAGUUCAGAUCGUAGGCUGCAACUCGCCUACGUGAAGUAGGAAUCGCUAGUAAUCGCAGGUCAGCAUACUGCGGUGAAUACGUUCCCGGGCCUUGUACACACCGCCCGUCACACCAUGGAAGUUGGCCAUGCCCGAAGUCGUUACUCCAACCCUUGUGGAGGAGGACGCCGAAGGUGGGGCUAAUGACUGGGGUGAAGUCGUAACAAGGUAA
rnacentral:rRNA from 1 species